rnacentral:rRNA from 1 species
GAUGAACGCUGGCGGCGUGCCUAAUACAUGCAAGUCGAGCGAACGGACGAGAAGCUUGCUUUUCUGAUGUUAGCGGCGGACGGGUGAGUAACACGUGGAUAACCUACCUAUAAGACUGGGAUAACUUCGGGAAACCGGAGCUAAUACCGGAUAAUAUUUUGAACCGCAUGGUUCAAAAGUGAAAGACGGUCUUGCUGUCACUUAUAGAUGGAUCCGCGCUGCAUUAGCUGGUUGGUAAGGUAACGGCUUACCAAGGCAACGAUGCAUAGCCGACCUGAGAGGGUGAUCGGCCACACUGGAACUGAGACACGGUCCAGACUCCUACGGGAGGCAGCAGUAGGGAAUCUUCCGCAAUGGGCGAAAGCCUGACGGAGCAACGCCGCGUGAGUGAUGAAGGUCUUCGGAUCGUAAAACUCUGUUAUUAGGGAAGAACAUAUGUGUAAGUAACUGUGCACAUCUUGACGGUACCUAAUCAGAAAGCCCCGGCUAACUACGUG